UGAUGAUGGUGGUGUUGAUGAUGAUGAUGGUGAUGAUGAUGAUGGUGAUGAAUAACAUCAUCAUCGUAGCCCUUAUCUGUCUCCACCUCCUCCUACCCAUAAUCAUCAUCAUCAUCAUCAUCAUUAAGCAUCAUCA
rnacentral:pre_miRNA from 1 species